UCCCUGAUGGUCCAGUGGUUAGGAUUCUGCCUUCUAUGCAGGGGACAUAGGUUUGAUGCCUAGUAGGGGAA
rnacentral:tRNA from 1 species